rnacentral:lncRNA from 1 species
CGGUGCAGGGAGGAAAGCUCCAGUGCGGUUUCAAGCAUAGGAGACGAGAUUGAGAGAGGCCUUAAUUUGGACCAUCUCGCUCCAAGAGCCUUGGAGACACGCCCUUCCCAACUCUCGCCGCCGCCCAGCCAAAGUCCACUUUGGCUGCCAAUCACGAGAAACAGAACUGCGGGGGACCCAGGUUGGGUGGGGCCCAGGGCGGGGCUCUCGGAGCACGGGGCGGGGCUACUACACGUUGAAUUAGACCGCAACCUGAGGAGGGCGGAGUCAGGCGGGGUGCCGCCGCUGCUGGAGCUGCGGGGCUUGCUGGGCUGACUCGCAGAGCCCGAGCCCGCGUGGAAUGGGCCACUCAAGCCCCCGCGGCCCUCAGCCACCCUUGCCGGUGGGAGCAUUCCAACUUUGGAGUUUUUCCCUUUCUGAAGAAGCCUCUUCCUGCACUCUAGGGCGAUGUGUCCACGCAGCGUUCAGUGGCUGUCGAUUUCGGUUGGAGAAGCUCGCCAUCCCAUUUCCCACCUGUCAAAACGCCGAGGACCGAGGCGCCGUCUCACACGAUUCUUACUACAGGAAUGGAAUCCAGACCUCCAGGAGGUGGACUGGGAAAGACUUUCAGCUGCCGUUCAAAGGAAACAAACCUUUGAUCACCAAUGUCGGUGCAACUAGACGAUACCUGUGA